rnacentral:rRNA from 1 species
UUGAAAAUCUCCGUUGUGUUGCAACGGCGAAUUGUAGUUUCGAGAAGUACUUUCCCGGCGCGUCGGGCUUGCCUAAGUUGCUUGGAACAGCACGUCAUAGAGGGUGACAACCCCGUACGUGGCAACGCUCGUGCGCUCGCGAUGUGCUUUCGAAGAGUCGGGUUGCUUGGGAAUGCAGCCCAAAACGGGUGGUAAACUCCAUCUAAAGCUAAAUACAGGCACGAGACCGAUAGCGAACAAGUACCGUGAGGGAAAGAUGAAAAGGACUUUGAAAAGAGAGUUAAAAAGUACGUGAAACCGUUGAAAGGGAAGCGAAUGGAGUUAGCAAUUCGCCCUGCCAGAUUCAGUAGCUCGCGCGCCGCGACGCACGCGCUCUCGAUCCGCAUGGACGAGACGUGUACGGGUGCGGCGUGCGGUCUGCGCACUUCUGGCGAGCGAGCGUCAGCGUCGGUUGCCGACGUGCGACAAGGACGCGGGGAAGGUGGACAGGUCCUUGCGGCCUGUUGUUAUAGCCCCGCGCUCGCAUGGCUCGACGGCGACCGAGGCUUCCGGCGACGCGUGCCUGGCUGGCGACUCGAACGAUCGGUUCGGCAUGUCGACCGUGGCGGACGGCACGCCUGUGCGCUCGAACCGCUGCCGGCCGAUCGGACGGUGUUCGCACACUACG